rnacentral:lncRNA from 10 species
UUUCCCAUCGUGCUGAGGCGGGUGGCAUGGCGGAGAAGGAUGACACCGGAGUUUGACGAAGAGGUGGUUUUUGAGGUUCGGCCAGUGGGAAGGACCUGCAGAUCAGAGGAUGGAGGAAAGAGCGCCAGAGAGAAUUCUCCACUUUACCAAUACUUACAGGAUCUGGGACACACAGACUUUGAAAUAUGUUCUUCUUUGUCACCAAAAACAGAAAAAUGCACAACAGAGGGACAACAAAAGCCUCCUACAAGAGUCCUACCAAAAUACCUGGGAUAUAGUAAUCACUCAAUGAAUAUAAACUGCACUUACUGGCAUGCUCAAGGAAUGGGCUAUUAAGCAAGGUAUCCUGUUAAAAGUGGCUGAAACCAUCAAAAGUUGGAUUUUUUUUUCUCAGUGCAAUAAGAAAGAUGACUUACUUCACAAGUUGGAUAUUGGAUUCCGACUCGACUCAUUACAUACCAUCCUGCAACAGGAAGUCCUGUUACAAGAGGAUGUGGAGCUGAUUGAGCUACUUGAUCCCAGUAUCCUGUCUGCAGGGCAAUCUCAACAACAGGAAAAUGGACACCUUCCAACACUUUGCUCCCUGGCAACCCCU